rnacentral:rRNA from 1 species
AUUGAACGCUGGCGGCAUGCCUUACACAUGCAAGUCGAACGGCAGCGGGGGUGCUUGCACCUGCCGGCGAGUGGCGAACGGGUGAGUAAUGCAUCGGAACGAACCCAGUCGUGGGGGAUAACGCAGCGAAAGCUGUGCUAAUACCGCAUACGUCCUGAGGGAGAAAGCAGGGGAUCUUCGGACCUUGUGCGAUUGGAGCGGCCGAUGUCAGAUUAGCUAGUUGGUGAGGUAAAAGCUCACCAAGGCGACGAUCUGUAGCUGGUCGGAGAGGAUGCUCAGCCACACUGGAACUGUGACACGGUCCAGACUCCUACGGGAGGCAGCAGUGGGGAAUUUUGGACAAUGGGGGCAACCCUGAUCCAGCCAUGCCGCGUGAGUGAAGAAGGCCUUCGGGUUGUAAAGCUCUUUCGGCCGGGAAGAAAUCGUGCAGGCUAAUACCCUGUAUGGAUGACGGUACCGGAAUAAGAAGCACCGGCUAACUACGUGCCAGCAGCCGCCGUAACAC